rnacentral:rRNA from 1 species
CCUACGGGCGGCAGCAGUGAGGAAUAUUGGUCAAUGGUCGGGAGACUGAACCAGCCAAGCCGCGUGAGGGAUGAAGGUACAGUGUAUCGUAAACCUCUUUUGUCAGGGAACAAAGGCGGGGACGUGUCCCCGUAUGAGUGUACCUGAAGGAAAAGCAUCGGCUAACUCCGUGCCAGCAGCCGCGGUAAUACGGAGGAUCCGAGCGUUAUCCGGAUUUAUUGGGUUUAAAGGGUGCGUAGGCGGCCUUUUAAGUCAGCGGUGAAAGUCUGUGGCUCAACCAUAGAAUUGCCGUUGAAACUGGGAGGCUUGAGUAUGUUUGAGGCAGGCGGAAUGCGUGGUGUAGCGGUGAAAUGCUUAGAUAUCACGCAGAACCCCGAUUGCGAAGGCAGCCUGCCAAGCCAUGACUGACGCUGAUGCACGAAAGCGUGGGGAUCAAACAGGAUUAGAUACCCGAGUAGUC